rnacentral:rRNA from 1 species
GACGAACGCUGGCGGCGUGCCUAAUACAUGCAAGUCGAACGCAGUGGGGACGGGUGAGUAACACGUGGGUAACCUCCCAUCAGAGGGGAUAACCCUUGGAAACAGCUGCUAAACCGAUACUGAUGGAUGGACCCGCGGUGCAUUAGCUAUUGGGUGAGGUAACGGCUCACCAAGGCCACGAUGCAUAGCCGGCCUGAGAGGGUGAUCAGCCACACUGGGACGGAGACACGGCCCAGACUCCUACGGGAGGCAGCAGUAGGGAAUCUUCGGCAAUGGACGAAAGUCUGACCGAGCAACGCCGCGUGUAUGAAGAAGGUUUGCGGAUCGUAAAACUCUGUUGUUAGAGAAGCGGUAUCUAACCAGAAAGCCACGGCUAACUACGUGCCAGCAGCCGCGGUAAUUC